rnacentral:rRNA from 1 species
CAGCCGCCGCGGUAAUACAGAGGGUGCGAGCGUUAAUCGGAUUUACUGGGCGUAAAGCGUGCGUAGGCGGCUUUUUAAGUCGGAUGUGAAAUCCCUGAGCUUAACUUAGGAAUUGCAUUCGAUACUGGGAAGCUAGAGUAUGGGAGAGGAUGGUAGAAUUCCAGGUGUAGCGGUGAAAUGCGUAGAGAUCUUGAGGAAUACCGAUGGCGAAGGCAGCCAUCUGGCCUAAUACUGACGCUGAGGUACGAAAGCAUGGGGAGCAAACAGGAUUAGAUACCCGCGUAGUCCCUGUCUCUUAUAC